UAGAGAUUUUGUUUAUUUUAUGAACGAUUCUCCACCCCAUGAUUUUUUAAUUAUCGAAAUGAAUUUUAGCUUCGGCAGGACAGUUUUUGAGACUUGUGUCAAAAGCGAUUGACGAUUGAAUAGGUCGUUGAUUAGUUUUGCCUGCCGUUAGCAUAAAAUUACCCCAACUCUUGAUAAACUUGAUUAUUGUCUGAAAUUACAAAAAAUAAAUAAAUCA
rnacentral:misc_RNA from 1 species